rnacentral:rRNA from 1 species
UACGAAGGGGGCUAGCGUUGCUCGGAAUCACUGGGCGUAAAGCGCACGUAGGCGGCUUUCUAAGUCAGGGGUGAAAUCCUGGAGCUCAACUCCAGAACUGCCUUUGAUACUGGGAAGCUUGAGUCCGGAAGAGGUGAGUGGAACUCCGAGUGUAGAGGUGAAAUUCGUAGAUAUUCGCAAGAACACCAGUGGCGAAGGCGGCUCACUGGCCCGGUACUGACGCUGAGGUGCGAAAGCGUGGGGAGCAAACAGG